UUGAAUCUCUUAUAGGUUUAAGAGUUUACCUUUCUAAAAUAGAAAACUCUAGAACCAGUAGCCACAAACCUAAUUUUUAGUGCUGGCCUGCCAUGUUGUCGUCGUUGACUGGUUAUCAUUCUACAUAAAUUUUUAUCAGCACAUCAUCUUUUCAUCUUUUCAUUUACAUGAGUUUUGUUUUCCUAAAAAAUAUCUAUCGAGCCACAGAUCUAAAACUUUAAAUUGAAAUUUUGAACAACCAUUUAGCCCUUACGAGCUACCCAAUCAACCUGAAAUUUCAAUAAACAAUUGCCCUCCUUUCACUUUUCAUUUCCACCAUUCAGAUUCGAGAAACUCACCACCGUUCGUUGCCGAUCAUUAUGCCAUCACUACUUAUGGUGCCUAGUUUGGAGUGCCUUAUCCUUUUUUGUAUUUUAUUAGCCUUCUUUUCCUUAGGUUCCUAUUACUCCAAGAUAUCCUAGAACCAAGUCAUAAAGAACUCAACCCCAAACUGAAAUUCCACCCUUUUUUUUUACGCUUUGAUUUUUUUUUCAUACGAUUCCCCUUAGGGAUGUUGUAGGAAAAUUGUUUUAGUUAUUUUCGUUUUGUUCAGGUGGUUGUGUUUUUGGUUUUAGAUUGUCGACGUUUAUUAUGGCUUGAUGAUUUUUUUUUAUUUUUCUACGGUGGCUUUUUGGUGGAGGAAAAGGCAAUGGCAGUAGGUUUCAGCUAGGGUGUAUGCUGGUGUGUUGGUGGUUGAAGGUUAUAGGUUUUAGUUGUGAGUACCAAAAUGAUGAUGGGUAGGCCAGGUUUAGUGGUUGUUGAAUGAGAAUAAGUGCUCGACUAGGUUUUUUUAGGUCAUUUGUGGACUUAGGCAAUGGUGAGGGAAAUGGUUUGGUUUUGGUUAAUGAAGGCAGAGUGCUCAAAAAUUUUCUUCCCUUUCCCUAUGUGUGCAUUUAGGUUCUUUUGUAGAAUAAGGUUUCUGGUUUAGAAACCUCAAAAUUGGAUUUUUUUGGAGUUUUCUUCCAGCCUUUAUAGUAUUACUUGUACUAACUUUGGGUUAUUAAGCUCUGCAUCUUUUUGGUCCAAGAGCUUAGAAGAAUUGCGUUAAGUUGCUAAAGGUAAAAACCAACAGGAAAAAAAAGAAUCAGGAAAAUAGUAAGGCAAUUUGGAGGAAGGGUUUUGGGGGUGGAAAAAGUCGGUUGCCAUGUAUUGCCAAC
rnacentral:lncRNA from 1 species